GACGAACGCUGGCGGCGUGCCUAAUACAUGCAAGUCGACCUUAGUGGCGAACGGGUUAGUAACACGUGGGUAACCUGCCCAUCAGAAGGGGAUAACACUUGGAAACAGGUGCUAAUACCGUAUACUGAUGGAUGGACCCGCGGUGGAUUAGCUAGUUGGUGAGGUAACGGGUCACCAAGGCCACGAGGCAUAGCAGACCUGAUAGGGUGAUCGGCCACAUUGGGACGGAGACACGGCCCAAACUCCUACGGGAGGCAGCAGUAGGGAAUCUUGGGCAAUGGACGAAAGUCUGACCCAGCAACGCCGCGUGAGUGAAGAAGGGUUUCGGAUCGGAAAACUCUGUUGUUAGAGAAGCGGUAUCUAACCAGAAAGCCACGGCUAACUACGUGCCAGCAGCCGCGGUAAUAC
rnacentral:rRNA from 1 species